CCUACGGGAGGCUGCAGUGGGGAAUAUUGGGCAAUGGAGGCAACUCUGACCCAGCAACGCCGCGUGAAUGAUGAAGGUCUUCGGAUUGUAACGUUCUUUUCUAAGGGAAGAAGAAAGUGACGGUACCUUAGGAAUAAGCCUCGGCUAACUACGUGCCAGCAGCCGCGGUAAUACGUAGGAGGCAAGCGUUAUCCGGAAGGACUGGGCGUAAAGGGGGCGUAGGUGGGUAGACAAGUUAGUAGAGCGACUCCGGAGCUCAACGUCGGAACUACUACUAAAAAUGUUGGACUUGAGUGCAGGAGGGGCAAUCGGAAUUCCUGGUGUAGCGGUGGAAUGCGUAGAUAUUAGGAGGAACACCAGUGGCGAAGGCGGAUUGCUAGACAGUAACUGACACUGAGGCACGAAAGCGUGGGGAGCAAACAGGAUUAGAUACCCUUGUAGUC
rnacentral:rRNA from 1 species